GAUGAAGAACUUAGCGAAAUGCGAUACGUAAUGUGAAUUGCAAAUUCAGUGAAUCAUCGAGUCUUUGAACGCACAUUGCGCCCCCUGGUAUUCCGGGGGGCAUGCCUGUCCGAGCGUCAUUGCUGCCCUCAAGCACGGCUUGUGUGUUGGGCCCCGUCCUCCGAUCCCGGGGGACGGGCCCGAAAGGCAGCGGCGGCACCGCGUCCGGUCCUCGAGCGUAUGGGGCUUUGUCACCCGCUCUGUAGGCCCGGCCGGCGCUUGCCGAUCAACCCAAAUUUUUUAUCCAGGUUGACCUCGGAUCAGGUAGGGAUACCCGCUGAACUUAAGCAUAUCAAUAGCGGAGGA
rnacentral:misc_RNA from 1 species